GACGAACGCUGGCGGCGUGCUUAACACAUGCAAGUCGAACGAAGUGGCGAACGGGUGAGUAACGCGUAAUCAAACUGCCCUUCAGAGGGGGACAACAGUUGGCAACGACUGCUAAUACCGCAUACUGAAGGAGGGGAUUGCGUCUGAUUAGCUAGUUGGAUGGGUAACGGCCCACCAAGGCGAUGAUCAGUAGCCGGGCUGAGAGGACGGACGGGCACAUUGGGACUUAGACACGGCCCAGACUUCUACGGGAGGCAGCAGGGGGGAAUCUUCCGCAAUGGACGACAGGCUGGAGGAGCAACGCCGCGUGAGUGAUGACGGCCUUCGGGUUGUAAAGCUAUGUUAAUCGGGACGCGGUACCGGAAGAGAAAGCCACGGCUAACUACGUGCCAGCAGCCGCGGUAAUUC
rnacentral:rRNA from 1 species